GAGGGUCUAGCUCAGUGGUGGAGCACAUGCUUAGCAUGCACAAGGUUCUAGGUUCAAUCCCCAGUACCCCCA
rnacentral:tRNA from 1 species